AUUGAACGCUGGCGGCAGGCUUAACACAUGCAAGUCGAGCGGGGUGAUGGUGCUUGCACUAUCACUUAGCGGCGGACGGGUGAGUAAUGCUUAGGAAUCUGCCUAUUAGUGGGGGACAACAUCUCGAAAGGGAUGCUAAUACCGCAUACGUCCUACGGGAGAAAGCAGGGGAUCACUUGUGACCUUGCGCUAAUAGAUGAGCCUAAGUCGGAUUAGCUAGUUGGUGGGGUAAAGGCCUACCAAGGCGACGAUCUGUAGCGGGUCUGAGAGGAUGAUCCGCCACACUGGGACUGAGACACGGCCCAGACUCCUACGAGAGGCAGCAGUGGGGAAUAUUGGACAAUGGGGGGAACCCUGAUCCAGCCAUGCCGCGUGUGUGAAGAAGGCCUUAUGGUUGUAAAGCACUUUAAGCGAGGAGGAGGCUCUUUUGGUUAAUACCCAAGAUGAGUGGACGUUACUCGCAGAAUAGGCACCGGCUAACUCUGUGCCAGCAGCCGCCGUAA
rnacentral:rRNA from 1 species